rnacentral:rRNA from 1 species
UGCGUAGACGGUUAUGCAAGUUGGUAGCGUAAUACCGGGGCUCAACUCCGGAACUACUACCAAAACUGUGUAGCUUGAGUGCGGCAGGGGUAUGUGGAUUCCUAGUGUAGCGGUGGAAUGCGUAGAUAUUAGGAGGAACACCAGAGGCGAAGGCGACAUACUGGGCCGUAACUGACGUUGAGGCACGAAAGCGUGGGGAGCAAACA